CCUACGGGUGGCAGCAGUGAGGAAUAUUGGUCAAUGGACGAGAGUCUGAACCAGCCAAGUAGCGUGAAGGAUGACUGCCCUAUGGGUUGUAAACUUCUUUUAUAUGGGAAUAAAACGUUCCACGUGUGGGAUUUUGUAUGUACCAUAUGAAUAAGGAUCGGCUAACCUCGUGCCAGCAGCCGCGGCAAUACGGGGGAUCCGAUCGUUAUCCGGAUGUGUUGGGGUUAAAGGGAGCGUAGGUGGAGUGUUAAGUCAGUUGUGAAAGGUUGUGGCUCAACCGUGAAACUGCAGUUGAAACUGGCAGUCUUGAGUACAGUAGAGGUGGGCGGAAUUCGUGGUGUAGCGGUGAAAUGCUUAGAGAUCACGAAGAACUCCGAUUGCGAAGGCAGUUCACUGGACUGCAACUGACGCUGAGGCUCGAAAGUGUGGGUAUCAAACAGGAUUAGAUACCCUAGUAGUC
rnacentral:rRNA from 1 species